rnacentral:rRNA from 1 species
GACUCUCUGGUCUGUACUGACGCUGAGGCGCGAAAGCGUGGGGAGCGAACAGGAUUAGAUACCCUGGUAGUCCACGCCGUAAACGAUGAGUGCUAAGUGUUAGAGGGUUUCCGCCCUUUAGUGCUGCAGCAAACGCAUUAAGCACUCCGCCUGGGGAGUACGGUCGCAAGACUGAAACUCAAAGGAAUUGACGGGGGCCCGCACAAGCGGUGGAGCAUGUGGUUUAAUUCGAAGCAACGCGAAGAACCUUACCAGGUCUUGACAUCCUCUGACACCCCUAGAGAUAGGGCUUCCCCUUCGGGGGCAGAGUGACAGGUGGUGCAUGGUUGUCGUCAGCUCGUGUCGUGAGAUGUUGGGUUAAGUCCCGCAACGAGCGCAACCCUUGAUCUUAGUUGCCAGCAUUCAGUUGGGCACUCUAAGGUGACUGCCGGUGACAAACCGGAGGAAGGUGGGGAUGACGUCAAAUCAUCAUGCCCCUUAUGACCUGGGCUACACACGUGCUACAA